rnacentral:rRNA from 1 species
CUGGCGGCAGGCUUACACCUGCAGUCGAACGCCCCGCAAGGGGAGUGGCAGACGGGUGAGUAACGCGUGGGAAUCUACCCAGUUCUGCGGAACAACAGUUGGAAACGACUGCUAAUACCGCAUACGCCCUACGGGGGAAAGAUUUAUCGGAAUUGGAUGAGCCCGCGUAAGAUUAGCUAGUUGGUGGGGUAAUGGCCUACCAAGGCGACGAUCUUUAGCUGGUCUGAGAGGAUGAUCAGCCACACUGGGACUGAGACACAGCCCAGACUCCUACGGGAGGCAGCAGUGGGGAAUAUUGGACAAUGGGCGCAACGCCUGAUCCAGCCAUGCCGCGUGAGUGAUGAAGGCCUUAGGGUUGUAAAGCUCUUUCACCGAUGAAGAUAAUGACGGUAGUCGGAGAAGAAGCCCCGGCUAACUUCGUGCCAGCAGCCGCGGUAAUACGAAGGGGGCUAGCGUUGUUCGGAUUUACUGGGCGUAAAGCGCACGUAGGCGGUUUGUUAAGUCAGGGGUGAAAUCCCAGAGCUCACUCUGGAACUUGCCUUUGAUAACUGGCAAGCUAGAGUCCCCGGAAAGCAGGGUACAUGUGGAACUCCCUAGUGUAGACGGUGGGAAUUCCGUAGAAUAUUAGGACAGAAACACCAAGUGGCGAA